GUUAGGGGUUUCGAUACCCUUGGUGCCGAAGUUAACACAUUAAGCAUUCCGCCUGGGGAGUACGGUCGCAAGACUGAAACUCAAAGGAAUUGACGGGGACCCGCACAAGCAGUGGAGUAUGUGGUUUAAUUCGAAGCAACGCGAAGAACCUUACCAGGUCUUGACAUCCCUUUGACCGGUCUAGAGAUAGACCUUUCCUUCGGGACAGAGGAGACAGGUGGUGCAUGGUUGUCGUCAGCUCGUGUCGUGAGAUGUUGGGUUAAGUCCCGCAACGAGCGCAACCCUUAUGCUUAGUUGCCAGCAGGUCAAGCUGGGCACUCUAAGCAGACUGCCGGUGACAAACCGGAGGAAGGUGGGGAUGACGUCAAAUCAUCAUGCCCCUUAUGACCUGGGCUACACACGUACUACAAUGGCCGGUACAACGGGAAGCGAAGCCGCGAU
rnacentral:rRNA from 1 species